AUACGGAGGGUGCGAGCGUUAAUCGGAAUUACUGGGCGUAAAGCGUGCGUAGGCGGAUUAUUAAGCAAGAUGUGAAAGCCCAGGGCUCAACCUUGGAACUGCAUUUUGAACUGGUAGUCUAGAGUACUGUAGAGGGUGGUGGAAUUUCCAGUGUAGCGGUGAAAUGCGUAGAGAUUGGAAGGAACAUCAGUGGCGAAGGCGGCCACCUGGACAGAUACUGACGCUGAGGCACGAGAGCGUGGGGAGCGAACAGGAUUAGAAACCCUAGUAGUCC
rnacentral:rRNA from 1 species